rnacentral:misc_RNA from 1 species
AAGUCGUAACAAGGUUUCCGUAGGUGAACCUGCGGAAGGAUCAUUAACACGUUAUCCAACGUAACUACCAACGCGCAUCGUUUUCCCCUCCCUCCCGCUGACUCUCAUGUAUCGGCUAUGCGCUCAGAGAAAUUUGGAAGGGACUUGGUUUCGGCCUCGUCUUCUCUGGUGCAAACUGACCUGCGCAAGCAGGCCGACGAUAGUAGAGAGCCGCGGCUAUCGCUGCAUUGCUGGAAAUCUCCUACCAUGAUUAGGAGCAGUGUGGCACAUUUACUAACAAUUUUCACCCCUUUUUGCUAGUUGACUUUUUAAUCUGUUGCGCUCUUGCUUAAUUGCGAGGCUCAGCACGUUUGAUCUAAUUGAACGUUAAAUAAUACAACUCUUAGCAAUGGAUAUCUUGGUUCUC